rnacentral:rRNA from 1 species
GACGAAGGAUGCAAGCGUUAUCCGGAUUCAUUGGGUUUAAAGGGAGCGUAGGUGGCCUUAUAAGUCAGUGGUGAAAUCUCUGGGCUUAACCCAGAAAUUGCCAUUGAUACUGUAGGGCUUGAGUAUAGUUGCCGUUGGCGGAAUAUGACAUGUAGUGGUGAAAUACAUAGAGAUGUCAUAGAACACCGAUUGCGAAGGCAGCUGACGAAACUAUAACUGACACUGAGGCUCGAAAGUGUGGGGAUCGAAACAGG